rnacentral:rRNA from 1 species
CAGCAGCCGCGGGAAUACGGAGGGAGCUAGCGUUGUUCGGAAUUACUGGGCGUAAAGCGCGCGUAGGCGGUUACUCAAGUCAGAGGUGAAAGCCCGGGGCUCAACCCCGGAACUGCCUUUGAAACUAGGUAACUAGAAUCUUGGAGAGGUCAGUGGAAUUCCGAGUGUAGAGAUGAAAUUCGUAGAUAUUCGGAAGAACACCAGUGGCGAAGGCGACUGACUGGACAAGUAUUGACGCUGAGGUGCGAAAGCGUGGGGAGCAAACAGGAUUAGAGACCCCUGUAGUCCCUGUCUCUUAUAC